rnacentral:rRNA from 1 species
UACGGGGGGGGCAAGCGUUGUUCGGAAUUACUGGGCGUAAAGGGCGCGUAGGCGGCCAUCUAAGUCAAACGUGAAAUCCCUCGGCUUAACCGGGGAACUGCGUCUGAUACUGGAUGGCUUGAGUUUGGGAGAGGGAUGCGGAAUUCCAGGUGUAGCGGUGAAAUGCGUAGAGAUCAUGAGGAAGACCAGUGGCGAAGGCGGGUCUCUGGACAGUUCCUGACACUGAGGCACGAAGGCCAGGGGAGCAAACGGG